GAACUGAAUAACAUUUCGAGUGUCCCUUUGGGCGUACGGCCCUUAGGGAAGGAUAGGGAAUCGGGUGAAAAGCCCGGACGGAACCGACGCUGUAAGCGCUGAGGCCGUGCUCGUCGACGAAAGUCGGUCACUGGGAAACUGGGAAGGCAGAGCACAGGCCGCAGGUAAGCAAAAGAAUGCUUGCCAUAAGCGCGAGUCAGAAGACCUGCUCAGAAAUUGCUUUGCAA
rnacentral:ncRNA from 2 species